rnacentral:rRNA from 1 species
UACGUAGGGUGCAAGCGUUAAUCGGAAUUACUGGGCGUAAAGCGUGCGCAGGCGGUUAUGCAAGACAGAUGUGAAAUCCCCGGGCUUAACCUGGGAACUGCAUUUGUGACUGCAUAGCUGGAGUACGGUAGAGGGGGAUGGAAUUCCGUCGUGAGCAGUGAAAUGCGUAGAUAUGCGGAGGAACACCGAUGGCGGAAGGCAGUCCCCUGGACCUGUACUGACGCUCAUGCACGAAAGGCGUGGGGAGCAAACAGG